rnacentral:rRNA from 1 species
CAAAAAUCCGGAAGCUCACUACCCUGAGACGUGAUGACGAGUUGGCCCUUGUGGUCGAUGAAGUAGCUGAUGCCAUGCUUCCAGGAAAAUCUUCUAAGCUUCAGGUAAUUGACGACCGUACUGUAAACCGACACAGGUGAUCUGGUAGAGAAUACCAAGGCGCUUGAGAGAACUUGGGUGAAGGAACUAGGCAAAAUAGUACCGUAACUUCGGGAGAAGGUACGCUCCUUUAGGUGAAGUCCUUGCGACGUAAGCCUGAGGGAGUCGAAGAAACCAGGUAGCUGCAACUGUUUAUUAAAAACACAGCACUCUGCAAACACGUAAGUGGACGUAUAGGGUGUGACGCCUGCCCGGUGCCGGAAGGUUAAUUGAUGGGGUCAGCGCAAGCGAAGCUCUUGAUCGAAGCCCCGGUAAACGGCGGCCGUAACGAUAACGGUCCUAAGGUAGCGAAAUUCCUUGUCGGGUAAGUUCCGACCUGCACGAAUGGCGUAAUGAUGGCUACACUGUCUCCACCCAAGACUCAGUGAAAUUGAAAUCGCUGUUAAGAUGCAGUGUACCCGCGGCUAGACGGAAAGACCCCGUGAACCUUUACUAUAGCUUCACAUUGGACUUUGAUAUUACUUGUGUAGGAUAGCUGGGAGACUUUGAAGCCGGGACGCCAGUUCCGGUGGAGUCAACCUUGAAAUACCAGCCUGGUGAUGUUGGGGUUCUAACUUAGGUCCAUUAUCUGGAUUGAGGACAAUGUGUGGUGGGUAGUUUGACUGGGGCGGUCUCCUCCUAAAGAGUAACGGAGGAGCACGAAGGUACCCUAAUUGCGGUUGGAAAUCGCAAGGUUUGUGCAUAGGCAUAAGGGUGCUUGACUGCGAGACUGACAAGUCGAGCAGGUGCGAAAGCAGGUCUAAGUGAUCCGGUGGUUCUGAAUGGAAGGGCCAUCGCUCAACGGAUAAAAGGUACUCCGGGGAUAACAGGCUGAUACCGCCCAAGAGUUCACAUCGACGGCGGUGUUUGGCACCUCGAUGUCGGCUCAUCACAUCCUGGGGCUGAAGCCGGUCCCAAGGGUAUGGCUGUUCGCCAUUUAAAGUGGUACGCGAGCUGGGUUUAGAACGUCGUGAGACAGUUCGGUCCCUAUCUGCCGUGGGCGUUGGAGAUUUGAGAAGAGUUGUUCCUAGUACGAGAGGACCGGAAUGAACGGACCCCUGGUGUUCGGGUUGUGUCGCCAGACGCAUUGCCCGGUAGCUAUGUCCGGACGGGAUAACCGCUGAAAGCAUCUAAGCGGGAAGCCCCCUUCAAGACUAGAUCUCCCUGGGACUUUAAGUCCCCUAAAGAGCCGUUGAAGACGACGACGUUGAUAGGCUGGGUGUGUAAGGGCUGCGAGGCCUUGAGCUAACCAGUACUAAUUGCUCGUGAGGCUUGAAC